GAUGAACGCUAGCGGCAGGCCUAAUACAUGCAAGUCGAACGGUGUAGCAAUACACAGUGGCGCACGGGUGCGUAACACGUAUGCAACCUACCUAUCAUUGGGGGAUAGCCUUUGGAAACGGAGAUUAAUACCGCAUAAGACAGUAGCAUGGCAUCAUGUAGCUGUUAAAGCUUUGGCGAUGAUAGAUGGGCAUGCGUCCAAUUAGUUAGUUGGUGAGGUAACGGCUAACCAAGACGAUGAUUGGUAGGGGAUCUGAGAGGAUAAUCCCCCACACUGGCACUAAGAUACGGGCCAGACUCCGACGGGAGGCAGCAGUAGGGAAUAUUGGGCAAUGGACGGAAGUCUGACCCAGCCAUGCCGCGUGCAGGAAGAAGGCGUUAUGCGUUGUAAACUGCUUUUUUAUAGGAAGAAGGAGACCUUGCGAGGUUUGGUGACGGUACUAUAAGAAUAAGCACCGGCUAACUCCGUGCCAGCCGCCGCGGUAAAAC
rnacentral:rRNA from 1 species